UGGGAAAGGGUUGGGGGGCGGGGGUGGAGAGCAUAGCAUCAGCAAAAGAGAAAAAGAAUAAAAAAGCGUAAUCUAUCGAAACAAAAAAAAUUAAUUUUUUUUUGUGGGAGGGGGAGGGGACCAGAAUGCGUGAUAAGAAUAAAGAACAAAGAUGAGGAAACUGGAGUGAAUCAGAAUAGCCCAUCAGUGCUUUGGUAUUCCCAGGGAUCCUAUAAAAGGGGGUGAACUACAGCUCCAAAACGGGGAGUCGGAGAAGUGCGCAGCAGCCGCGGCAGCUCCGCGACGCUCCCUUUGGCUACUCCUUCGCGCACUCUAACUCACUCACUCUUUUUUGGAUUUCGUCAUCUUUUCAAAAAAUCAAUAAAAAUAUUCUGGAGGCUCCGGGGGUCCACUUCUUGGUCUCAUCCGGAUCCCCAGAUCCUCCUCUAUCAUUCCCGACAAUUGGAAAAAAUGUCUGGGGGGGUCCCUGCGGCCCAGGGGCCGCUUUUGGGGGGGCGGGUGAGGAGAGGUGGGGAAGAGAGGGGGAGGGAGGAGAGGAGGAAGAGCGCCGCAGCCUCGGCAGCUGGAGUCGGAGCAGGGGGGGAUGGUUUCAAAAAAUAAUUAAAAAUCGAGGAAAUAUCCUAGAAAAGCCCUUUUGGCGUGAAAACCCCAAAGAAGAGCCAGGCUUCCCGAAACAGAGGUUUCGGGUGCCAGAAAGAAGAAUCUACCAUAAAACCAACAGACUCCUCCUGAUCUCUACCUGUGCUGUCUGCCUCUCUAGUUCCGGACACUGAGAGCUGGUGCCCUGUGGCCACCUCAAGCUGGAACCCUGCAAGAUCACCAAGAAGACUGCAUGCCUCGCUCUAGCCUUCCUAAGGGAAAGUAGACUCCUGUUUUUGAGAGAAAUUACCUGAUUUCAAGAGAAACAUAAAGGACUUUUUUUCCCUUAACAUUCCACUCGUAAAAAUGAAGUUUGGAAGAACUUCUGCAAACUCUGAGUGUUUUGGUCAAUUGACCUUUUACUGUACUAAGCAAAUCUGAAGCCACAAAUACAUUGGGGAGGAAGGUAUACCCUUCACAAAAGAUCCGUCACUUAGCCAGAUACUCUGUUGCCAUGCUUCUUUAAAUAAAGCACAUUUCUGGUAUAUUUUAUUUAUUUAUUUUUAUUUUUUAGAGUUGGGGUCUUGCUCUGUUGCUCAGGCUAGAAUGCAGUGAUAUGAUCAGAGCUUAUUACAGCCUUGAACUCCUGGGCUCAAGUAAUCUGCCUGCCUCAGCCUCACAAUUCAUUGG
rnacentral:lncRNA from 1 species